CCUACGGGAGGCAGCAGUGAGGAAUAUUGGUCAAUGGGCGCGAGCCUGAACCAGCCAAGUCGCGUGAGGGAAGACGGUCCUAUGGAUUGUAAACCUCUUUUGUCGGGGAGCAAAAGACGCCACGCGUGGCGUUACGAGAGUACCCGAAGAAAAAGCAUCGGCUAACUCCGUGCCAGCAGCCGCGGUAAAACGGAGGAUGCGAGCGUUAUCCGGAUUGAGUGGGUUUAAAGGGUGCGCAGGAGGAAGAUCAAGACAGCGGUAAAAUUGAGAGGCUCAACCUCUUCGAGCCGUUGAAACUGGUUUUCUUGAGUGAGUGAGAAGUAUGCGGAAUGCGUGGUGUAGCGGUGAAAUGCAUAGAUAUCACGCAGAACUCCGAUUGCGAAGGCAGCAUACCGGCGCUCAACUGACGCUCAUGCACGAAAGUGUGGGUAUCGAACAGGAUUAGAUACCCUGGUAGUC
rnacentral:rRNA from 1 species